UUAAAAUGAGAGUUUGAUCCUGGCUCAGGACGAACGUUGGCGGCGUGCCUAAUACAUGCAAGUCGAACGAAGUCGCCCAAAAUCAUCUUAGUGCUUGCACUAAGAUGAUUUUGGAUCCGACUGAGUGGCGAACUGGUGAGUAACACGUGGGUAAACCUGCCCAGAAGAAGGGGAUAACACCUGGAAACAGAUGCUAAUACCGUAUAACAACAAGAACCACAUGGUUCUUGUUUGAAAGCUGGCCUUUGUGCUAGUGCUUCUGGAUGGACCCGCGGCGUAUUAGCUAGUUGGUGAGAUAAUAGCUCACCAAGGCAAUGAUACGUAGCAGACCUGAGAGGGUAAUCUGCCACAAUGGGACUGAGACACGGCCCAUACUCCUACGGGAGGCAGCAGUAGGGAAUCUUCCACAAUGGACGAAAGUCUGAUGGAGCAACGCCGCGUGAGUGAAGAAGGGUUUCGGCUCGUAAAACUCUGUUGUUAGAGAAGAACAGCCGUGAGAGCAACUGCUCACGGUAUGACGGUAUCUAACCAGAAAGUCACGGCUAACUACGUGCCAGCAGCCGCGGUAAUACGUAGGUGGCAAACGUUGUCCGGAUUUAUUGGGCGUAAAGGGAGCGCAGGCGGUUUAUUAAGUCUGAUGUGAAAGCCUUCGGCUUAACCGGAGAAGUGCAUCGGAAACUGAUAAACUUGAGUGCAGAAAAGGAUAGUGGAACUUCAUGUGUAGCGGUGAAAUGCGUAGAUAUAUGAAGGAACACCAGUGGCGAAGGCGGCUAUCUGGUCUGUAACUGACGCUGAGGCUCGAAAGCAUGGGUAGCAAACAGGAUUAGAUACCCUGGUAGUCCAUGCCGUAAACGAUGAAUGCUAGGUGUUGGAAGGUUUCCGCCUUUCAGUGCCGCAGCUAACGCAUUAAGCAUUCCGCCUGGGGAGUACGACCGCAAGGUUGAAACUCAAAGGAAUUGACGGGGACCCGCACAAGCGGUGGAGCAUGUGGUUUAAUUCGAUGCUACGCGAAGAACCUUACCAGGACUUGACAUCUUCUGCCAAUCUAAGAGAUUAGACGUUCCCUUCGGGGACAGAAUGACAGGUGGUGCAUGGUUGUCGUCAGCUCGUGUCGUGAGAUGUUGGGUUAAGUCCCGCAACGAGCGCAACCCUUGUCUUUAGUUGCCAGCAUUAAGUUGGGCACUCUAGAGAGACUGCCGGUGAUAAACCGGAGGAAGGUGGGGAUGACGUCAAAUCAUCAUGCCCCUUAUGUCCUGGGCUACACACGUGCUACAAUGGGCGAUACAACGAGUUGCGAAACCGCGAGGUCAAGCUAAUCUCUUAAAGUCGUUCUCAGUUCGGAUUGCAGUCUGCAACUCGACUGCAUGAAGUUGGAAUCGCUAGUAAUCGUGGAUCAGCAUGCCACGGUGAAUACGUUCCCGGGUCUUGUACACACCGCCCGUCACACCAUGAGAGUUUGUAACACCCAAAGUCGGUUGGAUAACCUUUUUAGGAGUCCGCCGCCUAAGGUGGGACAGAUGAUUAGGGUGAAGUCGUAACAAGGUAGCCGUAGGAGAACCUGCGGCUGGAUCACCUCCUUUCUAAGGAA
rnacentral:rRNA from 1 species